rnacentral:rRNA from 1 species
GGUGACGAGUGGCGGACGGGUGAGUAAUGUCUGGGAAACUGCCCGAUGGAGGGGGAUAACUACUGGAAACGGUAGCUAAUACCGCAUAACGUCGCAAGACCAAAGAGGGGGACCUUCGGGCCUCUUGCCAUCGGAUGUGCCCAGAUGGGAUUAGCUAGUAGGUGGGGUAACGGCUCACCUAGGCGACGAUCCCUAGCUGGUCUGAGAGGAUGACCAGCCACACUGGAACUGAGACACGGUCCACACUCCUACGGGAGGCAGCAGUGGGGAAUAUUGCACAAUGGGCGCAAGCCUGAUGCACCCAUGCCGCGUGUAUGAAGAAGGCCUUCGGGUUGUAAAGUACUUUCAGCGAGGAGGAAGGCGUUGUGGUUAAUAACCGCAGCGAUUGACGUUACUCGCAGAAGAAGCACCGGCUAACUCCGUGCCAGCAGCCGCGGUAAUACGGAGGGUGCAAGCGUUAAUCGGAAUUACUGGGCGUAAAGCGCACGCAGGCGGUCUGUCAAGUCAGAUGUGAAAUCCCCGGGCUCAACCUGGGAACUGCAUCCGAAACUGGCAGGCUAGAGUCUUGUAGAGGGGGGUAGAAUUCCAGGUGUAGCGGUGAAAUGCGUAGAGAUCUGGAGGAAUACCGGUGGCGAAGGCGGCCCCCUGGACAAAGACUGACG